rnacentral:hammerhead_ribozyme from 1 species
GCCCAGCUGACGAGUCCCAAAUAGAACGAAAUGCGUAUUCUGGAU